GAUGAACGCUAGCGGGAGGCCUAACACAUGCAAGCCGAGCGGUAGAGAUUCUUCGGAAUCUUGAGAGCGGCGUACGGGUGCGGAACACGUGUGCAACCUACCUUUAUCUGGAGGAUAGCCUUUCGAAAGGGAAGAUUAAUACUCCAUAAUAUAUUGAUUGGCAUCAAUUGAUAUUGAAAGCUCCGGCGGAUAGAGAUGGGCACGCGCAAGAUUAGUUAGUUGGUGAGGUAACGGCUCACCAAGACGAAUGAUCUUUAGGGGCCUGAGAGGGUGAUCCCCACACUGGUACUGAGACACGGACCAGACUCCUACGGGAGGCAGCAGUGAGGAAUAUUGGUCAAUGGGUGCAAGCCUGAACCAGCCAUCCCGCGUGAAGGACGACUGCCCUAUGGGUUGUAAACUUCUUUUGUAUAGGGAUAAACCUACCCUCGUGAGGGUAGCUGAAGGUACUAUACGAAUAAGCACCGGCUAACUCCGUGCCAGCAGCCGCGGUAAU
rnacentral:rRNA from 1 species